GAUUCCCUACGGGGUGCAGCAGGCGCGCAAACUUUACAAUGCGAGCAAUCGUGAUAAGGAAACCCUGAGUGCCUGUCGAUGCAGGCUGUUCAUAUAUCUAAAUCAUAUGUGAAGAAAGGGCAGGGCAAGACCGGUGCCAGCCGCCGCGGUAAUACCGGCUGCUCGAGUGAUGGCCACUAUUACUGGGUUUAAAGCGUCCGUAGCUUGACUGUUAGGUCUCUUGGGAAAUCUUCACGCUCAACGUGAAGGCGUCUAAGGGAUACCGGCAGUCUUGGAACUGGGAGAGGUAAACCGUACUUCGGGGGUAGGAGUGAAAUCUUGUAAUCCUCGAGGGACGACCUAUGGCGAAGGCAGUUUACCAGAACAGCUUCGACAGUGAGGGACGAAAGCUGGGGGAGCAAACGGGAUUAGAUACCCCGGUAGUCCCAGCCGUAAACAAUGUGCGUUAGGUGUGUCGGUAACCACGUGUUACUGAUGCGCCGAAGAGAAAUCGUGAAACGCACCACCUGGGAAGUACGGUCGCAAGGCUGAAACUUAAAGGAAUUGGCGGGGGAGCACCCCAACAGGUGGAGCCUGCGGUUUAAUUGGAUUCAACGCCGGACAUCUCACCGGAUAAGACAGCUGAAUGAUUGUCAAUCUGAAGGUUUUACAUGACUAGCUGAGAGGAGG
rnacentral:rRNA from 1 species